GACGAACGCUGGCGGCGUGCUUAACACAUGCAAGUCGAACGGAAAGGCCCUGCUUUUGUGGGGUGCUCGAGUGGCGAACGGGUGAGUAACACGGGAGUAACCUGCCCUGGACUUUGGGAUAACUUCAGGAAACUGGGGCUAAUACCGGAUAGGAGCUCCUGCUGCAUGGUGGGGGUUGGAAAGUUUCGGCGGGUGGGGAUGGACUCGCGGCUUAUCAGCUUGUUGGUGGGGUAGUGGCUUACCAAGGCUUUGACGGGUAGCCGGCCUGAGAGGGUGACCGGCCACAUUGGGACUGAGAUACGGCCCAGACUCCUACGGGAGGCAGCAGUGGGGAAUAUUGCACAAUGGGCGGAAGCCUGAUGCAGCAACGCCGCGUGCGGGAUGACGGCCUUCGGGUUGUAAACCGCUUUCGCCUGUGACGAAGCGUGAGUGACGGUAAUGGGUAAAGAAGCACCGGCUAACUACGUG
rnacentral:rRNA from 1 species